rnacentral:rRNA from 1 species
CAGCAGCCGCGGUAAUACGUACGUCACAAGCGUUAUCCGGAUUUAUUGGGCGUAAAGCGCGUCUAGGUGGUUAUGUAAGUCUGAUGUGAAAAUGCAGGGCUCAACUCUGCAUUGCGUUGGAAACUGUGUAACUAGAGUACUGGAGAAGUAAGCGGAACUACAAGUGUAGAGGUGAAAUUCGUAGAUAUUUGUAGGAAUGCCGAUGGGGAAGCCAGCUUACUGGACAGAUACUGACGCUGAAGCGCGAAAGCGUGGGUAGCAAACAGGAUUAGAUACCCCUGUAGUCCCGUCUCUUAUACAC